GACGAACGCUGGCGGCGUGCCUAAUACAUGCAAGUAGAACGCACAGUUUAUACCGUAGCUUGCUACACCAUAAACUGUGAGUUGCGAACGGGUGAGUAACGCGUAGGUAACCUGCCUGGUAGCGGGGGAUAACUAUUGGAAACGAUAGCUAAUACCGCAUAAUAUUGAUUAUUGCAUGAUAAUUGAUUGAAAGAUGCUAUUGCAUCACUACCAGAUGGACCUGCGUUGUAUUAGCUAGUAGGUGAGGUAACGGCUCACCUAGGCGACGAUACAUAGCCGACCUGGGAGGGUGAUCGGCCACACUGGGACUGAGACACGGCCCAGACUCCUACGGGAGGCAGCAGUAGGGAAUCCUCGGCAAUGGACGAAAGUCUGACCGAGCAACGCCGCGUGAGUGAAGAAGGUUUUCGGAUCGUAAAGCUCUGUUGUAAGAGAAGAACGGGUGUGAGAGUGGAAAGUUCACACUGUGACGGUAUCUUACCAGAAAGGGACGGCUAACUACGUG
rnacentral:rRNA from 1 species